UUAAUUAACGGAUUAAAAUAAGGCGGCUGAGCCCAGUAGUUCACGUUGGAAUAAUGAUUAGUGAUAAUAACAGUAGUUGAUAAUGUGAAUAAUAAUUGAGCAAAAAUAAUAAAAUAAUAAAAAACUAAAAAAAAAAUAAUGUGAUUCAAAAGAUUAGGAUUAUCCAAAAAAAAAUAUCUGGCGAGAAGACUUUUGAGCCGCAACUUUCGUUCUGACAAGACAUGUCACCUUAUUAAAAUCAAGACACAAAGAAAACAGUGAAAUCACCUAAUAAAUUACAUCAGCAAAAACGUAAGUGAAAAUUUCCAUUUUUUUAAUCUUGAUUUAAAGAAAAUAAAUCACUGAAAGUUUGAAUUUCGUUGUUAUUGCCUUUGAGUCUUCGUUUCCUUAACAUUGGCAAAACCAGAAAGAAACCAUCAAAGCCUUGACUUGACUCUGGAUUCAUAAAAAAUUUCUGAAAUUGUUGAAAAAAAAAACACUGGUCCUUUGAAUUUGAAUGCUCCAAAUUACCCAUUAAGACAAGUUUCACUUUUUUCAUAAAAGCAAAGAAGAAUUAUGAGAAAAAUACAAUAACAAAUUAGCAAUUACUUUUCUUUCUCAAAGGGUGGUGUUUGAU
rnacentral:lncRNA from 1 species